rnacentral:rRNA from 1 species
GUGGGGAAUAUUGCACAAUGGGGGAAACCCUGAUGCAGCGACGCCGCGUGAGUGAAGAAGUAUUUCGGUACGUAAAGCUCUAUCAGCAAGGAAGAAAAUGACGGUACUUGACUAAGAAGCCCCGGCUAACUACGUGCCAGCAGCCGCGGUAAUACGUAGGGGGCAAGCGUUAUCCGGAUUUACUGGGUGUAAAGGGAGCGUAGACGGUAUGGUAAGUCAGAUGUGAAAGCCCGGGGCUCAACCCCGGGACUGCAUUUGAAACUAUCAGACUAGAGUGCAGGAGAGGUAAGUGGAAUUCCUAGUGUAGCGGUGAAAUGCGUAGAUAUUAGGAGGAACACCAGUGGCGAAGGCGGCUUACUGGACUGUAACUGACGUUGAGGCUCGAAAGCGUGGGGAGCAAACAGGAUUAGAAACCCUAGUAGUCC